UGGGGAAUAUUGCACAAUGGGCGCAAGCCUGAUGCAGCCAUGCCGCGUGUAUGAAGAAGGCCUUCGGGUUGUAAAGUACUUUCAGCGAGGAGGAAGGCGUUGUGGUUAAUAACCGCAACGAUUGACGUUACUCGCAGAAGAAGCACCGGCUAACUCCGUGCCAGCAGCCGCGGUAAUACGGAGGGUGCAAGCGUUAAUCGGAAUUACUGGGCGUAAAGCGCACGCAGGCGGUGUGUCAAGUCGGAUGUGAAAUCCCCGGGCUCAACCUGGGAACUGCAUCCGAAACUGGCAGGAUAGAGUCUUGUAGAGGGGGGUAGAAUUCCAGGUGUAGCGGUGAAAUGCGUAGAGAUCUGGAGGAAUACCGGUGGCGAAGGCGGCCCCCUGGACAAAGACUGACGCUCAGGUGCGAAAGCGUGGGGAGCAAACA
rnacentral:rRNA from 1 species